UACGGAGGGGGCUAGCGUUGCUCGGAAUCACUGGGCGUAAAGAGCUCGUAGGCGGUCUGUCGCGUCGGAUGUGAAAACCCGGGGCUCAACCCCGGGCCUGCAUUCGAUACGGGCAGACUAGAGUUCGGUAGGGGAGUCUGGAAUUCCUGGUGUAGCGGUGAAAUGCGCAGAUAUCAGGAGGAACACCGGUGGCGAAGGCGGGACUCUGGGCCGAUACUGACGCUGAGGAGCGAAAGCGUGGGGAGCGAACAGG
rnacentral:rRNA from 1 species